rnacentral:rRNA from 1 species
UGCAACUCGACUCCAUGAAGCUGGAUUCGCUAGUAAUCGCGCAUCAGCCAUGGCGCGGUGAAUACGUUCCCGGGCCUUGUACACACCGCCCGUCAAGCCAUGGAAGCCGGGAGUGCCUGAAGUGUGCAACCGCAAGGAGCGCCCUAAGGUAAAACUGGUGACUGGGGCUAAGUCGUAACAAGGUACC